AACACAUGCAAGUCGAACGAGAGAUGAGGAGCUUGCUCUUCAAAUCGAGUGGCGAACGGGUGAGUAACGCGUGAGGAACCUGCCUCAAAGAGGGGGACAACAGUUGGAAACGACUGCUAAUACCGCAUAAGCCCACAGCUCGGCAUCGAGCAGAGGGAAAAGGAGUAAUCCGCUUUGAGAUGGCCUCGCGUCCGAUUAGCUAGUUGGUGAGGUAAUGGCCCACCAAGGCGACGAUCGGUAGCCGGACUGAGAGGUUGAACGGCCACAUUGGGACUGAGACACGGCCCAGACUCCUAUGGGAGGCAGCAGUGGGGAAUAUUGCACAAUGGGGGAAACCCUGAUGCAGCGACGCCGCGUGGAGGAAGAAGGUCUUCGGAUUGUAAACUCCUGUUGUUGAGGAAGAUAAUGACGGUACUCAACAAGGAAGUGACGGCUAACUACGUGCCAGCAGCCGCGGUAAAACGUAGGUCACAAGCGUUGUCCGGAAUUACUGGGUGUAAAGGGAGCGCAGGCGGGAGAACAAGUUGGAAGUGAAAUCCAUGGGCUCAACCCAUGAACUGCUUUCAAAACUGUUUUUCUUGAGUAGUGCAGAGGUAGGCGGAAUUCCCGGUGUAGCGGUGGAAUGCGUAGAUAUCGGGAGGAACACCAGUGGCGAAGGCGGCCUACUGGGCACCAACUGACGCUGAGGCUCGAAAGUGUGGGUAGCAAACAGGAUUAGAUACCCUGGUAGUCCACACCGUAAACGAUGAUUACUAGGUGUUGGAGGAUUGACCCCUUCAGUGCCGCAGUUAACACAAUAAGUAAUCCACCUGGGG
rnacentral:rRNA from 1 species